rnacentral:rRNA from 1 species
UCCACGCCGUAAACGAUGCCGACUAGCUAUUGGAAGUAUCGACCCUUCUUGUAGCGAAGCUAACGCGUUAAGUCGGCCGCCUGGGAAGUACGGCCGCAAGGCUAAAACUCAAAGGAAUUGACGGGGGCUUGCACAAGCGGUGGAGCAUGUGGUUUAAUUCGACAAUAAGCGAAGAACCUUACCAGGGAUUGACAUCUCCGGAACCCCGCAGAAAUGUGGGGGUGCCUUCGGGAACCGGAUGACAGGUGCUGCACGGUCGUCGUCAGCUCGUGUCGUGAGAUGUUCGGUUAAGUCCGAUAACGAGCGAAACCCCCAUCCCGAG